UACAGAGGUCUCAAGCGUUGUUCGGAUUCAUUGGGCGUAAAGGGUGCGUAGGUGGCGAGGUAAGUUGGAUGUGAAAUCCCGGGGCUCAACCCCGGAACUGCAUUCAAUACUGCCUUGCUAGAGUACUGGAGAGGAGAUUGGAAUUUACGGUGUAGCAGUGAAAUGCGUAGAUAUCGUAAGGAAGACCGGUGGCGAAGGCGGAUCUCUGGACAGUUACUGACACUGAGGCACGAAGGCCAGGGGAGCAAACGGG
rnacentral:rRNA from 1 species